UAGACAUUGUAUACGUGUGUAUGUGUAUGU
rnacentral:piRNA from 1 species